rnacentral:snoRNA from 1 species
GGCCUCCUGGUGCUGCCCACAGGCUGCGUCCUCACACCGACCGUACAGAACUAGGAGCAGAGUAAACCCACCCACACACACCUCAGCGCAGGCCCUCGGCCUGGUCUGUAUUGUGAAUGGGGAGACAUUG